rnacentral:tRNA from 1 species
GGUAAGAUGGCCGAGUGUUGUAGGCGUUAGGCUGUAGACCUUUUCAGAGAGGUUCAAUUCCUCUUCUUAUC